rnacentral:rRNA from 1 species
GAUGAACGCUGGCGGCGUGCCUAAUACAUGCAAGUCGAGCGAACAGACGAGGAGCUUGCUCCUCUGACGUUAGCGGCGGACGGGUGAGUAACACGUGGAUAAUCUACCUAUAAGACUGGGAUAACUUCGGGAAACCGGAGCUAAUACCGGAUAAUAUAUUGAACCGCAUGGUUCAAUAGUGAAAGACGGUUUUGCUGUCACUUAUAGAUGGAUCCGCGCCGCAUUAGCUAGUUGGUAAGGUGACGGCUUACCAAGGCAACGAUGCGUAGCCGACCUGAGAGGGUGAUCGGCCACACUGGAACUGAGACACGGUCCAGACUCCUACGGGAGGCAGCAGUAGGGAAUCUUCCGCAAUGGGCGAAAGCCUGACGGAGCAACGCCGCGUGAGUGAUGAAGGUCUUCGGAUCGUAAAACUCUGUUAUUAGGGAAGAACAAAUGUGUAAGUAACUAUGCACGUCUUGACGGUACCUAAUCAGAAAGCCACGGCUAACUACGUG